CCUACGGGAGGCAGCAGUGGGGAAUAUUGGACAAUGGGCGAAAGCCUGAUCCGGCAAUGCCGCGUGAGUGAUGAAGGCCUUCGGGUCGUAAAGCUCUUUUACCAGGGAUGAUAAUGACAGUACCUGGAGAAUAAGCUCCGGCUAACUCCGUGCCAGCAGCCGCGGUAAUACGGAGGGAGCUAGCGUUGUUCGGAAUUACUGGGCGUAAAGAGUACGUAGGCGGUUAUUCAAGUCAGAGGUGAAAGCCCGGGGCUCAACCCCGGAACUGCCUUUGAAACUAGAUAACUAGAGUCUUGGAGAGGUUAGUGGAAUUCCGAGUGUAGAGGUGAAAUUCGUAGAUAUUCGGAAGAACACCAGUGGCGAAGGCGACUAACUGGACAAGUACUGACGCUGAGGUACGAAAGCGUGGGGAGCAAACAGGAUUAGAUACCCUGGUAGUCCACGCCGUAAACGAUGAUAACUAGUUGUUCGGUCACUUGGUGUACUGAGUAGACGCAGACUACGACAUUAAGUUAUUCCGUCCGUCGGGUAGGUACGGUCGCGAGAAGUUAAACGUACGAAAGGAAAGUUAGUACGGCGUGAGAACGUGCCGAGGACGACGACGAGGGGAGGUUAGG
rnacentral:rRNA from 1 species